rnacentral:rRNA from 1 species
UACAGAGGUCUCAAGCGUUGUUCGGAUUCAUUGGGCGUAAAGGGUGCGCAGGCGGCGUCGCAAGUCAGGCGUGAAAUCCCCGGGCUUAACCUGGGAAUGGCGCUUGAAACUACGAUGCUGGAGUAUGGCAGAGGGAGGUGGAAUUCCACGUGUAGCGGUGAAAUGCGUAGAGAUGUGGAGGAACACCGAUGGCGAAGGCAGCCUCCUGGGCCAAUACUGACGCUCAUGCACGAAAGCGUGGGGAGCAAACAGG